CGUAGAGUUUGAUCCUGGCUCAGAUUGAACGCUGGCGGAAUGCUUUACACAUGCAAGUCGAACGGCAGCACGGGGCGAACCCUGGUGGCGAGUGGCGAACGGGUGAGUAAUACAUCGGAACGUGCCCAUGUCGUGGGGGAUAACGUAGCGAAAGCUACGCUAAUACCGCAUACGAUCUACGGAUGAAAGCGGGGGAUCGCAAGACCUCGCGCGAUUGGAGCGGCCGAUGGCAGAUUAGGUAGUUGGUGGGGUAAAGGCUCACCAAGCCAACGAUCUGUAGCUGGUCUGAGAGGACGACCAGCCACACUGGGACUGAGACACGGCCCAGACUCCUACGGGAGGCAGCAGUGGGGAAUUUUGGACAAUGGGCGAAAGCCUGAUCCAGCCAUUCCGCGUGCAGGAUGAAGGCCUUCGGGUUGUAAACUGCUUUUGUACGGAACGAAAAGCCUUCUUCUAAUACAGGAGGGUCAUGACGGUACCGUAAGAAUAAGCACCGGCUAACUACGUG
rnacentral:rRNA from 1 species